CCACUGACGAUGAGUUGUGCUUACUCAUUCCAACAUUGAUGGAUGUGUUAUUCCUUUCCUCAAGGACUCUCUAGUCUGCAGAAAAAGUGGAGGAGAAUAAUUCUGUCUUCAGAAUAACUAUUUAUUUCAGCUGGAUUCUAUUCAGCUGAAAUCCUCAAGAUAGCAAAUCCUCAAGAGGAGGCAAUGAUCUGCUCAGGUCCC
rnacentral:lncRNA from 1 species